rnacentral:tRNA from 1 species
CAAUAGACAAUUUAUAUAAAACAUUAAUUUCUGAAAUUAACGUCAAAGGUGCCCUCCCCUCUACCGA